rnacentral:tRNA from 3 species
GGGGGCUUAGCUCAGCUGGGAGAGCACCUGCCUUGCAAGCAGGGGGUCGAGAGUUCGAAUCUCUUAGUCUCCA